CGUGUAUGAAUCAGUUCAUCAGUCAGUGGCUCAUUCAGCUUUUGGAUGGGUGUAUGCUUGGGCAGGGGGUCCGUUUAAGGGUUAUCCCUGCAAUGAACCUGCCCAAGACUGUGAAGAUGGCUUUCUGUACUGCAGAUACCCAUAAGCAAAACGUGAACCAACUUCUGGUGUGCUCCAAGUCUUUAAUCCAGGAUUCAAGAUUGAAAACUGGAAGGUCUUGCUUGGGUCGCAGUAAGGACGCUAAAGGUCAGCACUUAAUCUUAAUAGUUGAUCUUGCUUUGACAAAGGCCGGAGAUCGGAAGA
rnacentral:lncRNA from 1 species